GGGUAGCUCAGUGGGUACAGCAUGAGGCUCUUAAUCUGAGGGUUGUGGGUUUGAGCCUCAUGUUGGGCA
rnacentral:tRNA from 1 species